rnacentral:rRNA from 1 species
AGCGAACGCUGGCGGCGUGCCUAACACAUGCAAGUCGAACGUGAAAAGGGGCAACCCUGAGUAAAGUGGCGUACGGGUGAGUAACACGUAGGUAAUCUACCCCAGAAUCUGGAAUAACCUGCCGAAAGGCGGGCUAAUACUGGAUAGAGCGAUGGAACUCGUAAUUGGGUUUUUCGGGAAAGGGAGCUCGCAAGAGCCUUCGUUUUGGGAUGAGCCUGCGUCUGAUUAGCUAGUUGGCGGGUAAUGGCCCACCAAGGCGAUGAUCAGUAGCUGGUCUGAGAGGAUGAUCAGCCACACUGGAACUGAAACACGGUCCAGACUCCUACGGGAGGCAGCAGUGGGGAAUCUUGCGCAAUGGACGAAAGUCUGACGCAGCCACGCCGCGUGAGUGAAGAAGGCCU